GUUUACGACAGUCUUGAGAUUUCGAUAAUUCGAAAGCUCUAGAAAUGAUUUUAAUAUAUAAAGCAGAGCUCUAACAGUCGUAAUCGGUCAACGAUUUGAUGCUAUAGUCAAUAUAUCGAGAUAGUGAACUAAAAAGUGCAAUUUAAAUAAAGUAGAUGUUGAAUGUGUACAUAAAUAUUGGUGAAUUUAAAUGUGUAAAUUAGUGCAUGAUUAAAUUACGUUCGAUCAAACUGAAGAUUAAGCUCUGAAGUUCAAAGCCUUCCGCUUUAGAAUGAUUAUAAAAACUCCAGGAGUUUCUGAUUUAGAUAACCUAGAAUACUUGAAAAAGGAAAUGAAACUGGAGAAAUGAAUGAAAAUUAGUUUGUCUUACUGUUAGAUAGAUUUGGAAAGUGGUCAGCCUUUAAUGGAUUAUCCAAAAUUUAAGUGUAAUAAUGGCAAUAUCAAAAAGAAUAACUUUUUUGUCACUAGAUAUAGUUUCCGGCAUUAAGUAAAGGUGUCAAAUUUUUAUAUUCGAUGAAUAUUUUUCUCUUUAUGUGAAGGCUGCUUCCUUGAUUUCGGCUGUCGUGGCUGGAAUCAGUUACUAGGUUAAGGAAUUAUUGAUUAACCAGGGAAAGGUCAAGGAUGAAAUGGCAGUUUGGAGAACCUAUGAAUGGCCAGUACAUCCUGUCAAUAAAGGAUAUAAACGAAUAAAAAAUAAUUGUAUAGGUAUAUAAGGUUUUUUUUCGUUUCCUACACAUUUUAUAUUUUACUAAAUCUUGUAUCUUUAUUUGAAAAAUGUCCGACAUAUACGGGAAGGCUCAAAAAAAUUCAACAGAAAUUUUUCUAAUAGCCAAAUAUCGUUCAUCUUUCGCUAAUAUUGACAGAAGUUUGUAUAGGACUCAUAAUUUAAUUAUUCAAAGAAAUAACUUCUUAGAAUACACAAACUAAAUGCAAAUAAAUAAAUAUCAAAAAUAAUAUUAUAUGAAAAGUUUGGCUAGCACAAAUGUUGUACCCACAGAACAUACCCUAAGAACAGUGUUCCCAGCUCUCAAAAAUUCAUCUCCCUAAAGCCCCAAUCCAAAACUCCCAAAAUCCUUACAAUUACCAGGGAGUCCUCCUAAAAAAUUCUAUAAUUUAUAAAAUAAAUAAACAACAUUAAAAAAAAUCAUUAAACAAAUAAAAAUUUCAAACAAUCAAAAAAUGAUUUUAUUCAGCAACACCAUUUUUUUAAAUUCUUUAUUCAUAAAUUAACGAAAACUUCAAGCAACAAGUCAUUUUCCUCAGAUUCUGAUUUUUAAAAUCAUACAUAUUGACAUUAAAUAAUUUUAACAUUUUUGCGGAUGGUUGAAACGUUGUGCAUGAUCCACCAUUCCGUUGCAGCGUGGACAGAACCAUAAUCAUAAUUUUUAACAUUUUCAUCCAUAUUCUUUACAGUGUUAUAAAAAUCGCUAAAAAUACCCCUAAAAACAACCCAUGCCACAUCUUUUCCCCCUAAAUUUGGGAGAAAACCCCUAAGUUGGUAACCCUGCCUAAUAAGAAAUGCAAACUUAGUUGUUAUUGAGUGUAAACAACAUGGCAGAUGUUUGACGUCAGUGACCUCGAUGGUAUGUGGCAGAAUGCAAUUAUUUUCACAGUUCAGUUUACGACACAGAAUAUCUAUUCUAUUUUUUGUUAUUGAUUUCCACCCAGUUCCACCAGAAAUAAAACAGUAAUUCAGUCAAACAGAUUGCACAUCAUUACGAUGAUACACUACUACUUACUAUAUUCUGUAAUUAUAUGUUAUUAAAUAAAAUUGUAAGUUGAAA